GACGAACGCUGGCGGCGUGCUUAACACAUGCAAGUCGAACGGUGACGAGGAGCUUGCUCCUCUGAUCAGUGGCGAACGGGUGAGUAACACGUGAGCAACCUGCCCCAGACUCUGGGAUAACAGUUGGAAACAGCUGCUAAUACCGGAUACGAGACGGAGAGGCAUCUCUACCGUCUGGAAAGUUUUUCGGUCUGGGAUGGACUCGCGGCCUAUCAGCUAGUUGGUGAGGUAAUGGCUCACCAAAGGCGACGACGGGUAGCCGGCCUGAGAGGGCGACCGGCCACACUGGGACUGAGACACGGCCCAGACUCCUACGGGAGGCAGCAGUGGGGAAUAUUGCACAAUGGGCGAAAGCCUGAUGCAGCGACGCCGCGUGAGGGAUGACGGCCUCGGUUGUAAACGUCUUUCUAGCAGGAGAAGACGAAAGUAGACGGUACCUGCAGAAGAAGAACCGGCUAACUAACGUGCCAGCAGCCGCGGUAAAGGUACACG
rnacentral:rRNA from 1 species